ACCUGUUGAACACAUAAAGCAAAGCAUGUGACUCCAUAAUUAUUAGAUUCCCACUCUGAUGAGUUGGUUGUAGGAGUAAGUAAUCCUUGAGAAAUAAUCUUUGGUUUCUGAUGUAACUGGAAGAAGGAUCUGUGGGAAGCAGGGAGAAAUUCUCUAAGAAGAUUGAACUGUGGCCACAAGAGGGUGUUGUGAGGAGCAGAAUGGCUGAUUCCAAGGCAAUGAGAUCUAAGGCCAUCAAGUGCCAUGAGAGAAAUGCUAACAUCAUCUUCAUCACUAGCUGCAACCAUUCCAAAUCCUGUACAGUUUUCUUCCCUAGACCAACAAGGGUAAACUAAGAAAAUUAGGUAAUCGGUGACUACUUUUCCUGUUUGUCGACUCUACUUAAUAAGUAGCUCUCUUCCUUUUCAGGAUGUUGAUGUUGAAUACUCAAUUUAAACAGCUCACAUGGAUAUAUUAGGGAAGACUAGAAUAAAUUUUUUCUCCUAUCCUCAGUUCUUCUAGUGAACUCCAGUUCCUACUAGAAUAAUUAUGGAUGACAACAUAACUAUUCUAGAACCAUUCCAACCCUUUAUGACCAUUACAUGUUACCUACUUACUGGAUUAACACUAUCCUGCUCAGCAUUUAUGUAGAAAAAUUAAAAAUGUGAAUGAAGAUUACAAUUGGCAAGGUUCUAUAACAAUUAUGUACCUCUCUAAAGAAUGAACAGAUAUGCCAUGUCUAUACUAUAUCUGUAAUAUUUCAUUGUAUUUUGUAUAAUUUUUAUCUAUCUUUUUCAAGUUCAUGGAUUUUCUCUUUAUCAGACUUAUUCAGGUUGUAUUACAUUGAUUGUUCAAAGUUAACUAGAAAUCAACAAAGAGGAAGUAUUUACAAUGACAAGAUUCUAGGAAGAUGUUCCUCAGUCAACAUGUUGCUUGCAGUGGUUUUGAAGGUAUGCCCACAAGUUCUUUGAAUCUCCUCCCUUCAAGAGGGCUUCUUCUGAAGGUCAUGUCUGAAGGACUGGAGGCCUGUCCUAGAAAUCGGCCCAGGCAGUUGAGCCUUCACAUCCAUUGACAAAUCUUCCUCAAGUCUUCAUUGAUGCAUCUUGCUCAAAUGCCAGAACUCCCUGCUACCGUUCUGUUGCUGACUAUUUGCCUAGUGGAACCUGACUGUAUUUUUUGGAAAGUCUACUUACCUGACAACAUGAACCCCAGCUGAGCAUAUGCAUCAGGGUCCAGCUCCUCUGUGGGUGGUUUAUUGUCAGGUCCUAUCCCCUCAUAUGAGCCUGUUCCGAUGGCAGUAAUUGACAUGCUCUACCAAAUCUCAAUAAUAACGACUUAACAUCUGUUAAUAUCUUAUUAA